rnacentral:rRNA from 1 species
UACAGAGGGUGCAAGCGUUGUUCGGAAUUAUUGGGCGUAAAGCGCGUGUAGGCGGCUUAGCAAGUCGGGCGUGAAAGCCCUCGGCUCAACCGAGGAAGUGCACCCGAAACUGCUGAGCUUGAGUGCCGGAGAGGAUGGCGGAAUUCCCCCAAAGUAGAGGUGAAAAUUCGUAGAUAUGGGGGAGGAACACCGGGUGGCGA